AGGACGAACGCUGGCGGCGUGCUUAACACAUGCAAGUCGAGCGGAAAGGCCCUUCGGGGUACUCGAGCGGCGAACGGGUGAGUAACACGUGAGCAACCUGCCCUUAGCUCUGGGGACUAGCUCCGGGGAAACCGGAAUUAAUACCGGAUACGACCUAGGCCGACAUCGGCCAUGGUGGAAAGUUUUUCGGCUAGGGAUGGACUCGCGGCCUAUCAGCUAGUUGGUGGGGUAAAGGCCUACCAAGGCGACGACGGGUAG
rnacentral:rRNA from 1 species